CGUGGACCAACCAAUAACUUCUCCUAUUCUCUCAUCCUUACCCAAUUUUGCAUGAGAGAGAGAGAGAGAGAGAGAGAGCGAGAAGACGAAAGCAAAAGAGGCUUCAUUUUUUCUUCAUGGAAGUGGAAGCUCGAAACUCCCUAAACCAUUACCCCAAAACCCGUUCAGCUUUUUUAAUUAUUUGAGGGAGUUUUUAGUGUGAUUUAGGGUUAGAUUUGUGGGGCUUGGUGAAGAAUACUUGUAUAUAUUUUGAAGAUCUUAGAGUUUGGUGGUUUGAUUAUCCAUCUCUUCUUGCAACUAUUUGUUAAAGCUUCUCAAGAGGCGAGCUGCUUUUGCACUCUGCUGAACCGAUGCAGUUGCAGAGAUUGUUAAAAUCCAUGAACUUGAGACUUCUACUCUUGCCACUUUAUCAUCUCUGAAGGUUCUAAGUGAAAAUGCUGAUGCUCCAGGUGGAUGUGCUGUAUCUGUUGUUAAUGAAUCCCUUUAUGUUUAUCUCAAGAUUUGAGGAACUUUAAUGCAUAAGCAAAGCUUGAAAAGCUUCAGAAAAAGAUGGAGGACAUACAAAAGGUUCUUGAUGAUGACUGGCAUAUGGAAAUUGGAAUGCAAUGCUAUGCUGUGAGAUCAUUAUUAUAAAAACUCAGAGUCAACUUGUACAGAGGUUAGCCAUCCUUCAUGAUAUUUCUGGUGUGCCUAGGGCGGCAUGUGCACCUUUUGAAGAGGAGAACUUUGUUGAUGAUUUGAUUUCGCGUCGUUGGUUGUGGGGACAAACUAAGGCUGACUAUGAUAGUGAUUCUGAAAGUGAGGGUGAUGAUGGGGAUAGCUUAGAGACUAAUCUGAGUGCAAGGGAUGGUGAUGUUGCUAAGGUUACAGCAGAUGUUCCUAUUGAUGGGAUGAGAUCUCGAGGUGCUGCGCCAUAUGUUAAAGAUAGAGUGACCUUUGCGCCUCUUCUGUUGUAGUUAGGUCACCUGGUGGCACAUUCAGUUGGUCUUGGGAAAAAGACGAUGGUGACGAUCCAAUUGGUUGGUUGACUUUGGCUGAUGUUCAAUCUUGCCUGCCUUCUGGUGGAGUCCUUACCGUCUCUUUAUUUGGUUGGAGUUGUAGUUUGUCAUCGAUUGAUGCUCGUCCCAGUUUGCCUUCAAUUGGUGCUGAGGUUAACCUUCCUUUAGUGGAUAUUUAGCUUGGGACUUUGCCUACUUCGUCGGGAGUUGCUACCAAUUUGCCACUUGGUGAGAGUGGUAGUUGUGUUCAUGAUGAGACUAUUGCUCUUAGCAUUGGCUAUGGCGUUCAAGCGAGUUUACCUUCCGUGGAUGAUGAGUUUACUGUGACUCGUCUUGAUGAUGGUUGUAUAUCCUUGGCAGGGCCUGACAGCAAGGAGCGAGUUCUUGAUCCCAAGACGAAGGGACAGCCUAACAAAGAUGAUGGAUGCUUCUGGCUACUGAGAGAAGGUUGCACCUCAUAUUCGUGAAGAGAAUGUUGCAAAGCUUUCCACAUUCAUGCAAAAACUUGUCUUUUGAACAAGCUAGCCAGAUUCUUGAACGAGAGGUUGCAGCAGAGAAGCAUCAGAAAAUGAUAAUUGAACCUCACACUUCUAUAUUACAUUUCAUGGGCUAAGUAACAUUGCAAUGCGGAGACCACUGAAGCAUCAGAAAAUGAAAAUUGAACCUCACGCUUUCAUAUUAUAAUUCAUGGGCUAAGUAAGUAACAUUGCAGUGUGGAGACCACUGUUAUGAAAUUUAUUAGAAUAAUGUUUUUGUAAUGCUUCAAACUUCCACCCAUAAAUAUGAAUUAUAGUCGAUACCGAUUCUCCUAUGCUUUGUUUGGUUGGAAGAUUUGGAAAGAGAAAGAAAAAAGAUAUGAAACUAAGUGAAAUAUAGGUAUAUUUUAUUCACAUUUUAUCUAUCUUUUUUAUUUUUCUUUUCAAAUCUCUUCUCAAAUUCUUCAACCAAACACAGUAUUACUGUACAAAAUACAAAAAUGCUCUUGAUGGACGUACUUGUGGACAGGUAAGUUUUGCUCGGACAUUUCACAAUGUUAAAAUGAUAAAUGCAAUUUGUAUCUUUCUAGAAUGUAGUUAACUGUUAUAGGUGUCUUAUUCCAAAAACAUCUAGUGUUGUACUUGGAAGGAAUUUGAUCAAUUUCGAGUGGGACUUUAAUGCUGGCUCUAUUGCAAAGGUUACAAGACCAUUUGAGUUUAAAUUUGUGUCUGAGUUCUUGACCCAAUGUGGUCUUAGUUUUGUAUUUUGAGAUUUUUACGUGGAGCUAUUGUGAUAAGUGCAUGCAAACUCUUUUAUUCUAAUCAUAUAAUUAUGUGUGGAUAUUUUUAUUA